AUUGAACGCUGGCGGCAGGCUUAACACAUGCAAGUCGAGCGGUAACAUUUCUAGCUUGCUAGAAGAUGACGAGCGGCGGACGGGUGAGUAAUACUUAGGAAUCUACCUAGUAGUGGGGGAUAGCUCGGGGAAACUCGAAUUAAUACCGCAUACGACCUACGGGAGAAAGGGGGCAACUUGUUGCUCUCGCUAUUAGAUGAGCCUAAGUCGGAUUAGCUAGAUGGUGGGGUAAAGGCCUACCAUGGCGACGAUCUGUAGCUGGUCUGAGAGGAUGAUCAGCCACACCGGGACUGAGACACGGUCCGGACUCCUACGGGAGGCAGCAGUGGGGAAUAUUGGACAAUGGGGGAAACCCUGAUCCAGCCAUGCCGCGUGUGUGAAGAAGGCCUUUUGGUUGUAAAGCACUUUAAGCAGUGAAGAAGACUCUUCGGUUAAUACCCGGAGACGAUGACAUUAGCUGCAGAAUAAGCACCGGCUAACUCUGUGCCAGCAGCCGCGGUAAUACAGAGGGUGCGAGCGUUAAUCGGAAUAACUGGGCGUAAAGGGCACGCAGGCGGUUAUUUAAGUGAGGUGUGAAAGCCCCGGGCUUAACCUGGGAAUUGCAUUUCAGACUGGGUAACUAGAGUACUUUAGGGAGGGGUAGAAUUCCACGUGUAGCGGUGAAAUGCGUAGAGAUGUGGAGGAAUACCGAAGGCGAAGGCAGCCCCUUGGGAAUGUACUGACGCUCAUGUGCGAAAGCGUGGGGAGCAAACAGG
rnacentral:rRNA from 1 species